rnacentral:lncRNA from 1 species
AGCGGCGUAGGCGGCGGCCGGCCUGGAUGGCGGAGCAGGGGCCGGAGCUCAGCAGCCACUGCAGCCUACUCCGGUCUUCCUCCCCAACAUCAGGCCGGUAAGAUCCUCUCUCCCCUUUUGAUUUCUAGGAUUCCCAUCCCCUUUUCCACUGCUGACCAUGGCCGUCUUUCCGGCGAAGCUCCACGGCUCAUCUCUGUUUGCUGCAACUGCCAUGUCCAAUUGAUCGAUGGAUCUAUCUCUGGAACUAGUGAAUUGAAUGGUUUGAUUCUCUCAAAUAUUAUAUUUGCUCCAAUGGCAAGACUGCAAGAGGUCUAAUCGAAUGGCAUUCUGUGGCAGAGAUUUUGGUGCGGGAAUGAAGUGGGGAUCGGGUGGCGGGGUGGGAGUCACCCAAUCCCUGGGUGGAUUGAAGCCACUAGGGGAUUGCAUCUCCACCAACCAAACAAAGCCUUAAAGUUUCACGACUAGUGUCACUUCAUGCUCCCCACGGUCAGAGAGGAAGUCCCUAAGGUCACGAGGCUAUCCUGUUAAAGCUAAAAAAAUUAUACGUGAUUUCCUGCACGUAUUUUUUGAAGUAAGAAAUUCUUGAUUUGCUUAAAUUUGUACAUUUGUUGUUCUAACUGUUCCAUGCUUCGACGACAGGAAAUAUUGCUAUUUCAUUUCCAUGGCCAUUACUCCAUUAGCCCGUUUAGUCCUGGAACAAUAGUUUCUACAGAUAAUUUUUCUUCUACGUAUAAAAUUUAUGUCAUUGUUUCAUUCUAGAGCAGGAACUUGCCUUUUCAACUAAUUUGGUACCUC